UUGCAGUGAAGAAUUAGCGCUAAUUGUGAUCUGGGUCGAUCACAACCGUCUGAUAUUCUGACGAGGCUAAUUAGCGCAUCAGAGCAG